rnacentral:rRNA from 1 species
UACGUAGGUGGCAAGCGUUGUCCGGAUUUAUUGGGUUUAAAGGGUGCGUAGGCGGUCUAUUAAGUCAGUUGUGAAAUACGGCAGCUCAACUGUCGAGGUGCAAUUGAUACUGAUCGACUCGAAGGCAGGAGAGGGUAGUGGAAUUCCCGGUGUAGUGGUGAAAUGCGUAGAUAUCGGGAGGAACACCAGUGGCGAAGGCGACUACCUGGCCUGUUCUUAACGCUGAGGCGCGAAAGCUAGGGGAGCAAACGGG